rnacentral:rRNA from 1 species
UACGUAGGCAGCAAGCGUUGUUCGGAGUUACUGGGCGUAAAGGGUGCGUAGGCGGCCGUGUAAGUGUGGUGUGAAAUCUCCCGGCUUAACUGGGAGGGUGCGCUACAGACUGCAUGGCUAGAGUGUGGGAGAGGAAAGUGAAAUUCCUGGUGUAGCGGUGAAAUGCGUAGAUAUCAGGAGGAACACCGGUGGUGUAAACGGCUUUCUGGACCAAUAACUGACGCUGAUGCACGAAAGCGUGGGUAGCAAACAGG